AUUGAACGCUGGCGGCAGGCCUAACACAUGCAAGUCGAGCGGUAACAGAGAGUAGCUUGCUACUCUGCUGACGAGCGGCGGACGGGUGAGUAAUGCUUGGGAAUGUACCUUAUGGUGGGGGACAACAGUUGGAAACGACUGCUAAUACCGCAUAAUGUCUUCGGACCAAAGCGGGGGACCUUCGGGCCUCGCGCCAUAAGAUCAGCCCAAGUGGGAUUAGCUAGUUGGUGAGGUAAUGGCUCACCAAGGCGACGAUCCCUAGCUGGUUUGAGAGGAUGAUCAGCCACACUGGGACUGAGACACGGCCCAGACUCCUACGGGAGGCAGCAGUGGGGAAUAUUGCACAAUGGGCGCAAGCCUGAUGCAGCCAUGCCGCGUGUGUGAAGAAGGCCUUC
rnacentral:rRNA from 1 species